rnacentral:lncRNA from 1 species
CUGUAGUGCAGAGGUUCCCGAGAUGGAGAGCUGACACAGGACAGCAACCCAGAGAAGAAAAAAUGUGAGCUGGACCUUCAAUGCUUGGCAGCAUUGAAGAGGAAAAGCAUCUCAGAUAAAGGAAAAGAAAGACGUUCAACUCUACCAACUGUCUAUAGCAUUUCACAGUGUUGUGGAUGAUUAUGCUGUCUAGGGAACUGAGUAGUUACUGCACUUUCAAAAACAUCAUCUCACAGUCCUGAGGUCCUGCAAAUGAUCUAUCCACACAUCCAUCUUCAAGCUUCCCAAAGGCAGGAAUCACCUAUUGUUCGUCUGUAAACUCCAAUGAGAAACAUACAGUCUGGUGUAUGGGAGGUCAUCAAAACAAGUGUGGAGGUAUAAGCUAAGACUGACAACUGCCUCCCAAGUUUCUAUUCAAAAGUAAUCAUUUUGGAUGUAAAUCUCAUCAGGAAUGUGUUUAAACUCAGGAACUGCUGAAUUGUACUGUAACUUGGCUCAUCCCAAAUAGUGCAGUUGUCUUCACAAUGGAGAGACUGUCACAGCCUAAAAAGACACGUGACUCUGAGCAUCAGUUUACUGGCUGCCCACUCAAUGAUUCAGACUCCUCCAUUCUUUGUGUGGAAGAGAACUGGCCUUCCGGGAGCCUGAGGCCAAGUGAGAGAACCUUCUGAAAGCCGUCACUGCAUGGGGAGCCUGGACUUACCC